GCAAACUUGGUCAUUUAGAGGAAGUAAAAGUCGUAACAAGGUUUCCGUAGGUGAACCUGCGGAAGGAUCAUUACCGAAUCGUUGACAGCAGCUGUUGCUGGUCCUCCGUAGAGGGGACACGUGCACGCUCUGUUUACACAUCCACUCACACCUGUGCACCUUCUGUAGUCCUGUGGUAUGGGAGGCCUUGUCUUCCUUCUGUAGGCCUGCUCUUUUACAUACACUCUGUAACAAAGUCUCAUGGAAUGUGGUUCUGCGUUUAACGCGAUACAGUACAACUUUCAGCAACGGAUCUCUUGGCUCUCGCAUCGAUGAAGAACGCAGC
rnacentral:misc_RNA from 1 species